AAACACGAUGUGGUCACACUGUACCGUAGGCCAACGGUUAUCAUUCAAUUCAUUUGAAAUGUAUUGAUUGUCAUAUAAAAUUUGUUUAAUUUUAAUGAAAAUUUAGCAAAUUAUGGGUUAAUUUAGAAAAAAUUGUUCAUCAAUUUUGUUGAAUAUUGUGUUAUUUUACUAGUAAAGUAUCCCAGUGGAGUGUUGUGCGUCUGUUGUGAACGUAAAUUACACUGAAAAUAUGAAAGAACCAGUGAUUGAUUUUUGGAUGAUAAACGUUUCACAUUACUGAAUAAAAUUUCGCGAAUUAUGAUUUAAUUUUUAAAAAAUGGCUUCAUAUUCACACUACAUCGUGUUAUUUAACUCGUGAAUUGUGUCACUCAAGUGCUGUGGGUUUGUUUUCGAGAUAAUUAUGCUGACAGAAAAUACCAAUGAUCUGAUUUCUACCUCCGGAGCUUUGAAUAUCUAUCUAAAUUCAAAUGGUUGAAUUUCCUACAGAGAAUGAUGAAAACAUAGACCAAAUGGAAUAUAAUAUCCAAGUGAAUAAUCAUCAUUUCUUAUGAAUUUAUGAUCCGAAGAUAUGAAAUUGUAGCUCACAUUUGAUGAAGUAUUCAAGAUGUUGAUUCUGAUGGAUGUUUUUAUAACUUACAAAUGCAAUGGAUUACACAGGAAGAUGAGUUCGAAAAUAUUUAUCGAGUAUGUUUACCAAAUAUUCUGUAUAUUUUUAAGCUGUGAAUAGUUUUUUAGUUUUAUAUCACGAAAGAUAUGUUUGUUUUUUCACAUCAGUGAUCUUGUUUUUAGAUCUUGAUGAUUAUACCAGUAUGUUACCCACUGAAAUACUCCGUUCUGUGAUAUUUAGGAUACUUUUUAAAUAUUUUUAAUGUCUAGUGUACAAAAAAUUAUGGUAAUCGAAAUAAAAUCAUAAUUUUAGUGGUAUUUUCAUUUAAAA